rnacentral:lncRNA from 1 species
CAGAGUACAGUCAAUUUUAUUUCAUAAUCAGAUAACACAAUAUCUCACAAUAUCACAAAGAAAAAGCAGCUAGCCUCAUUUUUCCCAAACAUGGAGAACUAAAGUUAAUCACUGGACCAGUUCACAUGAAAAUGCUAACAAUCAUUUCCAAUGCCUAGGAAAGUUAACAAAAACUUAUAAGAGUAAAACAAUCACCGACAUUCACUAAAGAGGUGUUUUUGGAUUCAAUCACAUUAACUUGAUGCACUUUUAUUAUUAAAACUUGGCAAUAGUAGAAUUAGAGUGAACAAACCAACAUCUAAAUUGACAUCACCAGGUAGGAGCCUUAUAAAUAAAAAUCUGCUCGACUAAAGUUAACUUUUAUAAAUAGUGGUAAGUAGAGUCGAAUCCACAGGGAUUGGGUGUAACUGUGUCUUUUCAAAUUCACAAUAACAAAGGGGGUGUUUUUGUGCAGAAGGUGACAAUCGAAAAAAUUCAAACAAGAAUAAAAAUAAAUAGCUAGUUAGAAAUUAAAUGACAAUUUACUAAAGUCAAAUGAAUGAUAACUAAUGAUCUAGCCAAGAAAUAACUUCAGCAAUGGUUCACCUAAUUGAUCAUCGAUGCAAAGUCAAUUCCAAUUAUUUACUAAUAAAUAAGUUAUAACUGUCAAACAAGCGAUGAUAGUUAACCCCUCCUUACUGUGUCGGUGAUUAAGGUACACCUGUUAAUUACUGAUCUAAUUGAGAAAUAAUCCUAAGUACGCCCGUAAGAUUUAAUUCCCCAAUUGCUUUACGUAUUAGAAGAGCCAUAUUUUAACCAAAUAACACACUACCAGGGUUAUUUUAGAUUAGUCCGCGUAUCCCCCUGACACAAAUCUAAUCGUGCCAGUUGUCACUAAUUCAAGGCAAUUAAACAAUUAUGGAUUUAAUGCCCUAAUUGACAAUAGAUUACCAAAUCAAUUAAUUAUCUAGAUCUAAGACAAUCAAUUAAUUAAAUAAUCAUAAAUACUGCAAUCAAGGGAUAUGCGAAUACCAAUAAAUAAAAGAAAAAGAUAAAAUUAAACCGAUCUCACAAGUUUUAGGCGAACCAGAACCUCCGUUGUCCCUUGACUAGAGUGGAUAAAUUAGUUCAUAUUUAAUGUGAAAAACCCACACACAAUUGAAGAGAAAGCAGCGGCCAUCAUACUGUGAAACUUGGAAAAUUCAACCCGUCCGAAUAUUGAAUAGAUAGUAAAGCUACAAAAGGUGAUUGAUAGUUUUUCCUUCGUCUGACACACAAGAAGGAAAAGAUGCUACUUAAGACUCUAAGGGAAGAAAAGUCAAAGUUCUAAGCUACACUCUCAUACAAAAAACUAAGGAAAAAGCCAGGUAGUGGCUCCCCCUCAAUUCCUAUUCUAUCUAAUUACUCACUAAAAACUCCCCUCCCUAGCCGCGGCUCCCACCAGGAAGAAGAGGACCUUCAGCCGUCUUUCCUUCUCAAAAUUUACCAGAAUGGGCGUAACACCUUCUUUUUCAAAAAUGCCCCUGAGAUAAGCUCUAUCAUCUACACUCCUUUUUUUGCCAAAUUAGCACCUGUUAUCAUAUUUUCAUUCUACUUCCUGAAAUAAAUGUAAAAUACUAAAAGUGAGUAGAAUCCAGCAAUUAAUCCAUAUGGGAUCAGGUAAUAGGGAAAAUUAAUAAUAAAAUAAAUGAUAAAAUCGCACCCUAUCAAUUCCCCCCAAUUAUAUGCUAAAUUUGGUAAUAGAAGUGCAGAAAAUUAGCAAUAGCAACACAGUCACAAGGUCAAGGCAGUUGAUCAAAUAUCCAACCAACAAGAGUUAACAAAUUCAGGGAAAAACACUCCAGCUAGUACCACUGGAGGAAAAUGGAAUGCACAAUUCAACUAACCGAAAUUGUAGCAACAGUCCCAGGAAAUAACAAUUCAAGCAAUAAUAACCCUCAAAUCUGACAGUAGCAGAGUAAUUCUAAGUACCCAGCCUCCAACAGUCAACCAAUAGAGUAGAAUUAACCCAGUAAAGUUAAAAUUCCCAAACAGUGGAUGAAACAAGUUUAACGGCCAACCCACACUAGUGAGAACCCCAUAUAACGUAACUCAAUUCAGACAAGUAGUAAUGUAGCCACAGGAUUCACAGGCGAAGCUAAUAAGGAACCCAGCAACAAAUGGUCCAAUUAAAUAGGCGAGUAUGAAGAAACAGGGGGGUACCUCCACCGUUGUGUGGAAAAGGAGGCCGUGGGUGAAGGGAAGAUGGCAGGCAGCAGCGCGGCAAUGGAGACGGCGCGUGGGCUGUCGAUUGCGAUGGAGGGUGAGAGGAGUUCGGAGUGGCGGGGAUCAUGAGAGGUGGACUGCGGUGACGCGCGGAGCUGCGGGCGGCGCAGUCGCAACCGUGGGGAGACGCGACCGCGCGAGGUGAGCGUUGGCUACUGGUGGCGCGGGAGCUCAGGAGGAGCUGCGUGCGAUAGAAAAGGAGCCGCAGCGCUCGGCUGUUGGCUGCGCGCUCGAUGGGUUGAUGGAGGAGAGAAGAGCGCGGUGGCUUGGCGAUGGAGAGAAGGGUUGUAGCUCCGUCGGUGGCUUGCGAUGGAGCUAUGGUGGCCGCUAGGAGCUUGGGAGCCACGGCUACGCGUGUCAUCGUGCAACGUUGUUCACGGGUGACAGUCGCAUGGGGUAGGUCGCGACUGGUGGUGGCCGCUUGAGAGAGAGCUGGUGAGCGAGAUGCGGCAAGGGAAGGGCGGCGGUGUGCGAUGCAAAGAGCCUCGGUCGAACAGGAGGAAGAAGCAACGGGGAAGAAAGAAAGAAAGGAAAAGAAAAUAUGUUGUUUUUUUUUUGUGUUGUGGUUUCUUUUGUAUUUCAAUUUUUUCGAUUUUUUUCUUUUCUUUUUUUUUUUAAUUUUAUUAUUUAUUAUUUAUUUUAUUUUUUAAAUUUAUUUUUCUUUUUAAAUUUUUUUAAGUUAAAUCUCUUUUUUUUUUACAAAUAAUAAUUUUUCCUUUUUUUUAUCUGAAUAUUAUUAUUAUUACAUAACUUAUUUUCAAAAUUAAAAAUUAGAGACUAACAGAAAAUCAAUAAUAGUUCUUGAGUUCUUUUGAAUACUUACCUUUCCCGCGCACAUGACGUGGGCACGUCAAGAAAGCACAGAAUGAGAAGCUCUGCAGGUUACUUGACGCGGGCACGUCAUGAGGACAAGAGAGUUCUCUGACCAUGAGCUCUCCAUGGGACUUGACGCAGGCACGUCAAGAGGACAAGAAAGCUCUCUGACCAUGAGCUCUUCAUGGGACUUGACGCGGGCACGUCAAGAGGAUCGAAACCCUUUUUACUAAGCAUCAGGAAAUUGCAAUGUGCCACGCGCCCAGUUGACACGGGUGCGUCAUGUCAGAGGGAUGCCUAUGAAUCAUCAAAAAUGAAAAUUAAACCAAAAAAUCAGUCAAAUCCAAGGAAAAAUAUAUUUAAAAUAUCAAACAAAAUCGAAAAAAUAACUAAGAAAAAUUGGGUUGCCUCCUAAUGAUCGUCUUUCUUUAAUGUCUUUGGCUAGACAUGGUAAGGUGGCAUUAAUUGGCACACGGCGGUGCAUCUAGACUUAUCGUCUCUACUUUUCUACUUGAAAAACCUUCGUGAUAAUACUUGAGACGAUGUCCAUUCACCACAAACUUAUUGUUGGUUUUAGCAUUCUGAAUUUCAAUUGUACCAUAUGGAAAGACGUGAGUAAUAAUAAAAGGUUCAAUCCAACGGGAACGUAGCUUACCUGGGAAGAAUUUGAGUCUGGAUUGGUACAGGAGAACUUUCUGACUAAGUUCAAAGGUUUUUUCUAGAGAUUUGCUGGUCAUGAAAUGCUCGGCUCCUCUCCUUGUAAAUCAAUGCAUUCUCGUACGUUUCGUUCCGGAUCUCCUCCAAUUCCUGCAAAUCCAAUUUCCGUUGGGUACCAGCCUCCUCUAGGUUCAUAUUACAUUGUUUAAUCGCCCAAAAAGCUUUGUGCUCGAACUCCACUGAUAGGUGACACGGCUUUCCAAAUACCAAUCUAUAGGGUGACAUCCCUAUGGGGGUUUUGUACGCCGUUCGAUAGGUCCAAAGUGCAUCUUCCAACCUUUGACUGCAAUCUUUCCUAUCGGGGCGCACCAUUUUCUCCAAAAUAGAUUUAAUUUCUCGAUUCGAUACCUCCGCUUGACCAUUGGUCAGCGGGUGGUACGAUGUUGAGAUCCUGUGGAAUACACCGUACUUGCGAAACAGCGCGGCUAUGGUUUUGUUGCAGAAAUACGUCCCCCUGUCACUAACAAUAACUCUCGGCAUUCCACAACCCACAAAAAUAUUAGACUUGAUAAAAUCUGCAACCACUUUCGAAUCAUUAGUCCGGGUAACCUUAACCUCCACCCAUUUAGACACAUAAUCAACUGCCAGCAAUAUAUGUAUAAAAUAAAAUGAAGUAGGAAAAGGCUCCAUGAAAUCUAUAUCUCAGACAUCAAAAAUUUCGACAAAAAUCAACGGGACUUGGGGCAUCUGAUCUCUACGAGCUACAUUACCUACCCUUUGACAGCGAUCACACGACUUACAAAACACAUAAGCAUCCUUAAACAAUGAAGGCCAAUAAAAUCCACUUUCCAAUACCUUAUGAGCAGUUUUCUUGGGUCCAAAAUGACCUCCACAGGCAAAAGUAUGACAAAAAGUUAGAAUUAGUUGAAAUUAAGCUUCACUUACACAUCGCCUCAUCACUUGAUCAGCACACCUCUUCCACAAAUAUGGGUCAUUUUAGAUAAAGUACUUGGCAUCGCUCUUCAAUUUAUCCCUCUUCGAUUUUGGCAAACUUGCAGGAAAAUUACUUGUUACUAGACAAUUGACUAAAUCGACAUACCAAGGCAAUUGAGAAUUUAGAGAAAAUAAAUGGUCUUCAGAGAAUGCAUCCUCCAACGGCUCGUUCUCCUUUCCAACAGGUAUACGACUCAAAUAGUCGGCUACUAAAUUCUCCGAGCCUCUCUUAUCUCUUAUCUCCAGAUCAAAUUCUUGCAGAAACAAGAUCCACCUUAUGAGCCUCGACUUUGCAUCUUUCUUGGUUAUUAGGUACCUUAGAGCUGCAUGAUCAGGAAAUACAAUAACUUUAGCACCCAAUAAAUAUGACCUAAACUUUUCCAAGGCGAAAAUAACAGCAAGAAGCUUCUUCUCAGUGGUGGAGUAAUUCAAUUGGGCCCCAUUUAAAACUCGAGAUGCAUAGUAAAUGACGUGAGCUGUCUUUCCUACUCUUUGCCCGAAUACAGCUCCUACAGCAUGAUCACUGGCAUCGCAUAUGAUCUCAAAUGACAAACUUCAGUCAGGAGGUUGAAUGAUCGGUGGCGAGGUCAAUAGCUCCUUUAACUUGUCGAAGGCUCUCUCACACUUGUCAUCGAAUUCAAAAGCCACAUCUUUUUGUAAAAGCUGGAAUAACGGGGCUCCCAUUUUCAAAAAAUCCUUGAUGAACCUUUGAUAAAAACCUGCAUGUCCAAGAAAAGAGCGCACCUCCCGCACACUAGCGAGGUAAGGUAAAGCAGAUAUAAUAUCUAUUUUCGCCCUGUCAACCUCGAUACCUUUAGAAGACACAAUAUGACCCAGAACUAUCCCAUGUUCAACCAUAAAAUGACAUUUCUCCCAAUUAAGCACGAGAUUAGUCUCUAUACAUCUCAACAAGAUCAAUCUCAGGUUAUCUAGACAUGUAUCAAAACUAUCACCAUACACACUGAAAUCGUCCAUGAAAACCUCAAUUAUUUUCUCAACAUAUUCAGAAAAAAUGCUUACCAUACAUCUCUGGAAAGUUGCAGGUGCAUUGUACAACCUGAAUGGCAUCCGUCUAUAUGCAAAGGUCCUGAACGGGCACGUGAAAGUCAUCUUCUCUUGACUCUUUGGUGCAAUUGCUAUUUGAAAAUACCCUGAAAAUCCAUCCAAAAAGCAAUAGUAAGUCCUAUAAGCUAAACGUUCAACCAUUUGGUCAAUGAAAGGGAGAGGAAAAUGGUCAUUUUUUGUGAUAGCGUUUAGCCUACGGUAGUCAAUACACUGCCUCCAUCCAGUGGGUUUGCGCACUGGUACGAGCUCACCCGUUUGGUUAGCCUCCACUGUCAUUCCUGCCUUUUUUGGAACUAUCUGGACCAGCCUCACCCAUGGGCUAUCCGAUAUCACGAAAAUGAUUCCCACAUCGAGCAACUUCAGAAUUUCUUUCUUCACCACUUCCAUCAUGAGGGGGUUAAACCUCCUUUGGCCUUGCCGUAUAGGUUUGGCAUUCUCUUUCAACCUAAUCCGGUGUAUGCAGAUGGAGGGGCUGAUCCCCUUGAUAUCGGUGAUAGUCCACCCUAUCGCCUCUUUAUACUCUUUAAGGACCCGAAUUAGUUUCUUCUCUUGGGUCUCCGAGAGUGCAGUUGAUAUAAUCACCGGGAGUGUUUCGUUGUCGCCCAGAUACGCAUAUUUCAAGUGCUUCAGCAAAGAUUUCAACUCCAACACAGGGGCCUGCACCACAGAUGGCAGUCCCCUCUAGUGAGGUUCGGGAAUGAAAAUUGGAGAGACUUCAUACAUUUUUGUUGUGGUUGGCAAUGAGUGUAGUGCCCCUAUUGUGCAUUUCAAGUCUUCACUCCACUCUACCUCAGGAGUUGUCUCCAACUCAAGGUGCUUGAUUAAAGCUAUUUCCAACUCAUCCUUACCAACAGUUUCAAACACUUCCUGCACCGCAGGGUCAAUAGCACUUACAGAAAAAACAGAGCUAAAGUUAGAGUUUGAUGGGUAUUUCAUCGUAUCAAAAAUACUAAAAUGCACAAUUUUUCCAUCAAAUUCCAUGAAUAGGGUGCCCUUAUUAACAUCAAUUUUUGUCUGCACUGUACUCAAGAAGGGUCUACCUAAUAGUAAAGGUGAGGGAUCGGGGGAGUGAUCAUCAUUCAUAUCAAGUACAUAAAAGUCAGUUGGGAAUACCAAAUCAUUAAUUUUUACCAAUAUAUCUUCAACUAACCCAUCAAGAUAUGCAUUUGUUCGGUCAGCUAAUUGAAUGAUUAUUCCAGUUUCUUUUAAUGGACCUAGUUUUAGAGAAGCAUAGAUAGAUUUGGGUAUGACAUUAAUUGAUGCUCCCAGAUUCAACAUGGCCUUCCUAAUCAAAGUGUUGCCUAUCUUACAUGGGAUAGUAAACAUACCUGGGUCUCCAUACUUUGGUGGGAGUUUUUUCUGCAAGACCACGGGCACGUUCUCCCCCACAAUGACCCUUUCAUCCCCCCUCAACCGCCUUCGGUUGACACACAAGUCCCUUAGAAACUUGGCAUAUUUCGGCACUUGUUUGAUUGCGUCUAAGAGGGGGAUAUUAAUCUCUACCUUGCAGAACACCUCUAGAAUUUCCUUCUCCUUAUCUUACUUUUUCGAUUUUUCCAACCUGGUAGGAAAGGGAGGCGGGUUAGUUUUUACUACAAUGAUUGGGUCUGGAAGUACCUCUGGAUUUGUACUAUUGUUGUCCUCCCUCUCAAACUCAUUUUCGAUCUUUUCCUCAUCCUUGUCCUUAGGGAUCACAGGCUCAGGCCCCUGAAUCUCCUUUCCGCUCCUUAGGGUCAUCACGCUUACAUUUUUCGGGUUCAAUUUAGGUUGAGAUGGCAAUUUACCUUGGACUUGGGACUCCAAACGGUUGAUUGUUGUGGCCAUUUGACUCAUCUGAUUUCUUAUGUUCUGCAUUUUGGAGUCCGUCCUUUGCUUAUAUUGCGCGGUGGUUGCUAUCAAUUGUUUCAUCAUCUCCUCCAAAGAUGGACUAGAGCUCGGGGGCGGAGGUGGUCGGGGUUGGUAUUGCUGCUGAUACCCUUGUUGUCUAUUUGGCACGAAAUUAGACUGUCUGUUCUCUCCAUAGUUGAGGUUGGGGUAAUCCCUCCAACCGGGGUUGUAGGUACUUGAAUAUGGGUCAUAGGGCUUCCUUGGCGCGAGCGCGUGUCCUGCCAUGUUCAUUUGCUCUGCACUUUUCUCUUGAAUCAUUGGGCACAUCUCUGUAGAAUGACCCAUGUCAGUGCAAAUUCCGCAUAUCAUGGUAUGAGAUGCAUUUCCUACAGCCAGUUGCCUAACAAAAGAAGUCAACUCAGUCAACUGUUGCUGGAUAGAGGAUGUUUCUACCUCGUUCACUUUGCGUAUCGAGACAUCCUCCCUCGUACCAAACUAUUGCGAGUUCUCAACCAUUCCUUCUAUUAGCUCCCACGCUGCUCGAGGGGUCUUGUUCACCAGUGCCCCUCCACUCGCAGUAUCAAUUAUGCUCCUGUCUCUGAAAAGUAGCCCCUCGUAAAAAUAUUGUAUGAGCAACUACUCACUUAUUUGAUGCUGGGGACACUUGAUGCACAAUUUCAAAAACGCUCUCAGUAAUCAUAGAGCGAUUCUUCUGGAUGCUGCUUGAUACUGCAAAUUUCUUUUCUUAGACUUGCAGCUCUGAAAGCAGGAAAAUACUUAUCUAAGAACUUUUUCUUUAGCUGGUCUCACGUGGUGAUACUACCGGUAGUAGGUAGUACAGCUAGUCCUUUGCAGAGUUCUUCAAGGAAAAGGGGAAUGCCCUCAUUUUUAUUUGCUCUUCUGUGAUUUUCAGGGGUUUCAUACUGUUGCACAUGACAUCAAAUUCCUGCAAAUACUUAUAAAGCUCCUCACCUGGUAACCCAUGAAAAGAUGACAAAAGAUGAAUUAGCCCAGAUUUUAAUUCAAAUAGAGUGUUAUCACUCAAACUUGGAAAAGUAAUGCAUAAAGGUUGCUGAAUUAAAUCAGGAGCAGCCAACUCCCUUAAUAUCUGGGCAUUAGCCAUGGGGACUUCUUCUUGCUCCGAGUCACUCGAAGUGUCACCAAACGAAUCUGUUGAUUCAACUUCUGGCUUAGGUAUCUGAUAUGCAAUACUUGAAUGCUCUUCUCUGAGUUGUCUGGUCUCUUUUCUUGUUCUACGCGCGGUCUUCUCUACCUCAAGGUCAAAAAUUAAUUCACCUGUACGAGAAGAAUGAGGCAUACACUCGAACAGCACUAGAAAAUUAGAACAAAAAUAAAUUUAAAAAGAAAUAAAUAUUAACGCCAGAACUCGGCAACGACGCCAAAUAUUGACAGGUUGUCGGCCUAUGCAAUAAUAAAAUCUGCUCAAACUAAAAGUAAUUUCUGUAGAUAGCGGUGAGUAGGGUCAAAUCCACAGGGAUUGGGAGUAAUUGUUUCUUUUCAAAUUCAUAGUGACAAGGGGGUGUUUUUAUAUCAGGGGUGACAAUUUAAGCAAUUCAAUUAAAAGUAAAAUAAUAAAAAUAAAAUAGCCAACUAGAAAUUAAAUAACAAUUUACUAAAAUCAAAUGAGUGAUAAUUAAGGAUCUAACUAAGGAAUAAUUUCAGCAAUGGUUCACCUAAUUGAUCAUUGAAACAAAGGCAAUUCUAAUUAUUUACUAAUAAAUAGGUUAUAACUGCCAAACAAGCGAUGACAGUCAACCCCUCCUUACUGUGUCGGUAAUUAAGAUACACCCGUUAAUCACUACUCUAAUUGAGAAAUAAUCCUAAGUACGCCCGCAAGAUUUAAUUCCCCAAUUAUCUUACGUAUUAGAGGAGCCCUAUUCUAACCAAAUAACACACGACCAGGGUUAGAUUAACCCGCGUAUUCUCCUGACACAAACCCAAUCAUGCUAGUUAUCACUAUUUUGAGAAUUAAACAAUUACGGAUUUAACGUCUUAAUUGACAAUAAAUUAUCAAAUUAACUAAUUAUCCGAAUCCAAAAUAAUCAAUUAAUUAAAUAACCAUAAGUACUGUAAUCAAAGAAUAUGUAAAUACCAAUAAAUAAAAGAAAAAGAUAAAAUUAAAUCGAUUUCACAAUCUUUAGACAAAUCAAAACUUCCGUUGUUCCUUGAUUAGACAAAGGGAUUUAGCUCAUCCCUUGUCUACUCCUACCGAAAAGAAAAGAAAAGCAACUAAAGAUGAAAGGAAAAGUCAAAGGCUAAGCUCUCCCCCCUGACAUGCAUUGGAAGUAAAAGCUCUAAGAAGAAACCAAAAGGGCAAAGUUCCAAAAGCUAAAGUAGUCCUAAUCCUCUGCAACUCCCUAUCCUAUCAAAAGUCCUACUCUACUUAUUUAUUGUGCGGCGGCUUCAAUGCCUCCCGAAAACUUCGGCCUUUUUAGUUUUUUUUCCUUUCUUGCUGUCUUCGGCCAAAUUACCAAAAUGGGCUCACAUCUCCUCGUUUCAAAAAUGUCCCUGAAUGCCUUCUAUUUGAAUUCUUUCCCGAUGACUGUCAAAUUGGUGUUCGUUGUGGUAUUUUCAUUCUACUCUCUGAAAUAAAUGCAAAUUACAAAAAGUGAGUAGAAUCUAAUAAUUAAUUCACAUCGGGUUAGGUAAUAUAGGAAAUUAAUAAUAAAAUAAAUGAUAAAAUUGCAACCUAUCAAACAGAUAAGCGACGUGACAGAACAGAAAAAUAAAGUCCACGAUAACCUUAAAUUGGGGAAAACUGUCAAAAUAUUUGGUAAAUCACAAAGCUAACACUAAAUUGGGCCAUCUGCUCGAGUAUCGUAUCGUCAGCAAACAGUAGGACUGGUACUUUUGGUCCUUCAAAAUGACUUUCAAUUCUAAAGAUGCAAUUGUUGGAGAAGAACAGAGAGAACAUAUAUUGACUACAAAACACCAAGCAGGUGAAGUAAAUUCCAGAUUAAAGGCUAAUGGAAGCACGAAGAACUACCUGAACGAAUGGCUUUCAUUACAAUUUUCACAACAAAGCACAAGAAUUAGACACGAACAAACCACUUUGGCUGUGCCAGUUUAGCAUCAAAUUAUAUUUAUUCUUUUACCAUUUCAGAUCUUAUAUCAAAUGGCACAAGACAAAAAUUUUGACAGCAUUGAGCAUCAACUUCUUAUAUAGACAAUGACUAUCAGGCUAUCUUCCAGAUAACUUUCCUUUCCACUGACCGGCAAAAGAUGAGAGAGAGUGAAUAAGUAGAUGCUGCACAAACAUCUUUCAUAGCCAAUCCUAGAAGAGCAGAAGUUACGUGGAUAAUGCACAACUAGUACCGGCAACUUAUAAUCAAUGAUGUAGUUCGCCUUCUGAAGUGUUAGAAAACGACUUGUACAACAAACUAAUCAACGCACCAAAGCAGAAUCAUGGUAGAGGCAUCAUGGCAUCAUUAAACGUUAGUUUCACUUUCAAGCAUCAUUUGUCAUAGCCAUUUGCUGAGAGGUAGAGACCACUUUUCUGAGCUCACCCGUCCCAUUCCAACAAGUAUAUAUUAAUGAAUACUUCGUCAAGAUAUUCAUCCAGUUGGUAGUAUUCCUGCUUUUUGCUCAUUUCCAUUUUUCUCUAGCUGGCAGUUGAUCUAUGAGCCAGAAGUUAGGAUAUUUUUCUCUUCCAUCUAUUUCAUUGUAUUUUUUUCCCUUCUUGAAAGAACUUCUCUUCCCACUUUGAUCAGCAACUAACAAAUACUGGACCUUGAAAAUUUCGAAGUGUUGAUGCUGCUUAUUCUUACAAAAAUGCAACAGGAUCGCUGCUAGGAUAAAUCACAACAGAUGUGCCCAAGCCAAAGAAAUUGAUUCUAAGCUAGACUCAUAUUGAUAGAUUUGAGCCACCUGUUGAAGAUGCAGCUUACCAACUAAUUGCAAAUGGGACGUCAGAAUGCAUGCUAAGUCGGAUGAAGAACAUAGCAACAGCCUAAAUACUUAAAAUUUUCUGGUACAACAUCCUUUCAUCUAGUUUGAAAUUCCUCCACCCCCAGGAACUUUCAGCAUCUUUUCGCUGAAUCAGUGAUAUGGGAGAACAAGAAUCCAUGAAAAAUAUCUUCAAGCAAAUUAUUAUUAAAGAUUAAGUACACAGAAAAUAGUACUUAUUAGAACCAGAUUCUCAUGUUUGCCAAGCUGUCAUUAACUAUAUACACCUAUUCUACCCAACAAGGUUGCAAAAGCAAACAGCAUUCUUUGCAUUAAAAAAAAAAGGAAAAAAGAAAGUCUCAGGGCAUUCAGCCAUUUACUUCAAGAAAAGAAACCUACUCUGCAUUACUUAAGCUGAAAUGUAUAAAAGAAAUAAAAAUGUGUACUUGACAUUUAUGCUUGUGCUCAGCUGGUUUUAAGGAUCAUACCAAUUUGUAGCCAGAUUGAAGAGGAUUUUAGGAAUUAGAUAGUUUUGAUUUCAUAAACACAUGACCAUUCAAACCAAAGAAUUGAAAACCUCCAGAAGUUGGUUUGUGAAAUAUCAAUGAUUAUAUCAUUCAACUGAUCCAACAUAUACAAUUAGUCCUGUGGGAGUGGAUCUAACCUCAUGAGUGGAAUUCUUCUCUUCUUUGACCCCUUUUCUGAGUAGAUCUAAUAAUAACGCUCUUUAAGUCCUUGUUUCCCCAUUCUCUCUGUUCUUGCAGAAUUCGCUCCACAGAAUUUACAGCAGACUCACUACACCUUUUCACCUCAAUCAUUUUAAGAGUGAGGCUUUCCCCUAAACAAGGAGGGACCUCUUCCAGCUCCUCACAAAACUCCAAAACCAAUUUCUCAAGACAGGAAAAAUUAUCAGAAGACGCAGUCCACCUACGAAUGUACAACCCUGACAAUUUCAAAAAUCGGAGGUUACGGAAUUCCCCUUCUUCCAUCUCCCAUUCUUCCUCCCGAACGGAACGAUGGCAUAAUUUGAGCACUACAAGGUUGGGCAGAUUUCUUCCAAUUGCUGAAAUUUUUCCCCACGGCCAAUAAUUAUCCGAGAGAGUCAACUUUUUCAAAUUCAAAUUCAAUGAGAAUUCAAACUCAUCUCCGCUAAUCCUGCUUAUCUUAAGUGAUUCUAGUCGACUCAUGUAGUUCAGCAAGGGAAUCUCCUUGCGAUUUCCACCAGAUUCAACUGCUCGGUAACUUUUCCUUUGGAUUCCAUAUGUUAUUGUUAGCCUGCGGGUGCUCUGUAACUUUGCCAGUAUCUUCUGUGCACUUUGAGAAGAGAGAUCGAUUGCAAGGCUUAAAGUGUCUAAAUGUUUUAAAUCAGGGGAGCCUUCAAGAUUGUCCAUGGGAAAUAUGAAACCACAGUCGGACAAUGAUGUGACAAGAUACCUCAAUGUUUCAAUGUUCCAGAUAGUGUUUGGCAACAUAUAAUUUCUACGGCGUGCUUCUACUACAAAAGUUUCUAACCUUGAGAGGUUGGCUAUUGCAGAUGGGAUAUCCCCAACAAAACGUCCAAUUCUCAAGUACCUCAAGUGAAUAAGGAAUACUACUUCCCUUGGAAAAGAUGAAAUCCAAUAAGGAGUGUUCCAGAAAUCCAGCACUCUAAGAAGUUUAGACAGCAGAAAUUUGGAUGAAUUCUUAUCCAGCUGUGUAUAACUAUCACCACAGAAGAGCAAACACCGCAAAUUGGGAAAAAACAGCCUUGAUUUUGUAAGCCCCAUAGUCUUGGUAGGGUGGAUAGACAAUCGAUGGGGCUUGCAUGGUCCAGUAAAAGUUAAAAGGUUAUCCACACGUAAAAUCUGUAGAAAACUUUCUUCUUUAGCUUUCUCCAUGCAAAAUUCAUGUACCAAAUCAUGGAUUCGGCAAGCUUUGAUCCCACCUAAAGAUCUUUGUUGGGGAGCCAUAACUAAACUUCUCCCAAUCAGAUCCAUCAAAUAUUCAUCUGCCACAUCCUCUAAACACUUUCCUUCAGUCUUUUGCACGAAUCCUUCCGAGAUCCAAAUCCAUAACAACCUUCGAAUGGGAAUUUCUUUGUCUUCUUGAAAUGCACCGAAGUAAAGAAGACAUGGCUUCAAAUAAUUUGGUAAAUUAUUGUAACUUAGCUCAAUUGUCUUCAUGCAAUAUUCAUUGUCAACAUAAAUGCUGGAAGUUAAAUGUAUUACAACUUCUUCCCAGCAAUCUUGCUCGGUAGUAGUAAGAAUUCCGGCAACAAGGACAACUGUGAGAGGCAGGCCUUUACAGUAUUUUGCUGCAUGCAGUAAAACAUUGCUUAAUAUUGGGGGACAAUCUUCUUUGGCAAAUAGCUUUUUCUGCAGCAAUUCGCAGCUCUCAUUAUCUGUAAGCGGGCGAAGAUGGUGAGGCUCGCUAUCAAGUUUAAUUUGCAAUGGCAAUUCCUGAAAUCUGCUGGUUAAGAGAAUCCUGCUUCCAUUGCAAUCAUCUGGCAGUGAGAGUUUCAAUAAAUCCCACCCCAGAAUGUCCCAAACAUCAUCCAAAACUAUGAGAUACCUAUUUCCCUUCAACAAUUUGCGUAGCCUGUCAGCCAUAUAAUCUUCAUCUUUCCGAAUAUAUCCAGCUGAGUUCCCAUGAUCAAUAUUACACAACAUUUGAACUAACAAACUAUGCUUGGUAUAUGCUCGAGAAAAACAACACCAAGAACGAAUGUGAAAGUGGGACUUUACCAAAGGAUCACCAUAAACUUUAUUGGCUAAUGUUGUCUUACCAAGACCAGGCAUACCCACAAUGGCAACAAUAUCCAACCGGCUUGGUCCCCUUACAAGUCCAUCAAUUAUAAUUUCCCCCUCGUCAUUGAGACCCACCACAGCUUCAUUAGAUAUUGGAGCAGUAACUUGUGAUGGCAUGGGAAUGGUAGUCUUAACAAUACUCUGGGUUUCAUAGUCAAAUCGUAUGCUAUCAUAAAUCUUUUUGGCCUCAAUCUUCAUAAGCUUGACAUCUCCAGCAAUAACAUCCAAACAAUGUUGAUGUUUUCCACCAGGUAGUGUAGAGUCAAUGAUUAUCUCUGCCCUGUAUGCCAGCUCAAUAAUACGACUCCACAGAGCUUGGAGUUUUUCAUUCCGCUUUCACUGCUCUGCAAUCUUGCCUAGGAAAGGUCUUAAGAAAUCAAGAUCUUCACGAACUGUGUGGAUUUGAUUAUUUGGGAAAGCAAUUGAAUUAGCUGUAGAAUUUUCCAGUUCCUUGAGAGUUUCUAAAAGAAAAUCAAUAGAGCCCAGCUCAUUAGUCCUAGGGAAACUAAUUGAUGAUGAUGGUGGUUGUAGUGGACAAAUCUGUUCAAUUUCUGGAAUAAUGAGCUUGAGCAGUUCGAGCGAAUGAGAAGCCACAAGAUCUAUUUCCUUGGGCAAGCUUUCUGUCAUUUCACUCUUAUAAAGGGAGAAAAUCACAAUUCCAGCAUCACAGACCACAAAUCCAAUAAGAUCCUUCAUUUCAUCAUUUAGCUCAUCGAACUUCUCGUGCUGCUGGCUGAGAAGGACACUCAGGAAUCUUGCUCCCUCAUAGAGUUUUAGUAAUUGAUCCUUCACCGGAAGCAAGAAACUGGUGUAAGAUUCUGUUAGCUCCAUAAUAAUAUGUAAAAGAUGAUCAAUAAAUUCGGCCACUAGGUGCUUAUUCUUCUCCAGGGCUAAAGUGUGUGAUGAUGGUGACAACUUGGAAGCUGUCAAGACGUGGAUAUAAGUUUCUCGGACUUGGAGAUCAACGGGAUCAAUCUUCUUUUGUAUCAGUUGAGAAAUUUCAGAUUCCAUCUCAUUGCACACCCGUUCAUCAUUUCUCUGAAACCAAGAUGUAGAGAUCAGGCUUGCAGCAUUAAUGGCCACAACUUCAAUGUGAACUAACAGAUCUACUAAUUGCUGACCCUUAACACCUUGUAGUGUUGCAAAGCAAAUGAAACUCUUCAAGAACAUUAGCUUCUCUUGAAGGGUUCCCAUUACACUUUGCAGAGCUCCAUCAUCCCUGUAAUUUCUGGUGCAAAGACGCCUCAGAUUCUCUAAAAUGGAAUCAGUGAUAUCCAUAACCAGUUGCAAAUCUCCGAGCAAGUAGUGAAGCAAUAAACUACAGAUGUUGGAUUCCUUGAUGUCUGAAUCAAAAAUCAACCGCAUAUUUUCCUCGAAUCUGCCGAGCUUGCGUUUGAAGUCAUCAAGCGAUCUACGUCUACCACGAACAAAGCCAAGUUCAUGCUUUAUUCCACUAACCAGAUCUUGAAUCCUGAAGGAGAUACUGCUGAGCCUCAAACUGUCAGACUCAGCAUCACCCCUGUCCUCCUUAUCAUAUUCCAAACACGUAUACUCUUUGCUCCUCUUCCUCCUAAACUUUCUAAUAUACAGAUCAAAGGUUUCCAAUAGACUUAUCCCCAUCUUCAGCUCCCAGAUAUGAGAUUCGAACAGGCCUUUGUACCCACUGUUGAAGUAGUCCAGAUGAUUACGAGCAACAUCGAAGCAACUAGUGCUACUGCUGAAGGAGAUGUUCAUCAUGGUACCUGCUUUUCACUCAGAAAUGAGAUUUCUGCCUAUUGUAGCCAUUGAUAUUCAAGAUCAACAACUUUCUUAUUAUCUAACAAUAUUCACAGUUUGCCGUCAGGACUCUAUCUCUCUUUUUUUUUUUCAUUUUUUCUUUUUUGCGUGUGGCAGGGUGGUGCUAAAAUAUUGCAAGACUUUACCCUCUUCCUCUUGAGUCUUUGUCAAGGGAAGCUCGCAUCGAUACAACAGGCAUAAGCUGUUGGGGUCCCCAUAUCAAAGAUUAAAGCAUUAGAGAUGCAUUCAGCUGAGGCCUGAUGGCUUUGUAAUUUGCCACAACCUUUUUUAACGCAACAAUUUUUUACCACAAAACGUGAAAGGGAAAAAAAAUAAAUGAAAGAAAAUCAAUAUAUAGUAUUUUAGUUUCAAUCAAAUCCGAAUAUGGCCAGCACUAAAAAUGAACAAAAUGAGAAAUAUCAAUUAGAUUAGCGGUCAAAAUAAACAAUAGAAAAAUCAGAAGAAAAUGAUCCAUGGCUAUUGUUUAAGAAUGUAUAACUAAAUGCAUUUAAGGAUUUUAGAGAAAAUUGUUUUUUAAUUGCUAAUGUAUGUGAGUGUUGAUGUUUUAAUGCUUCUUUUUUUUAAUUUGGCAACUUUUCCAAAUUUAAAAAGUUGUAUAAUAAGAAUAAAUAUUUUACUCCUUUUCCCGUGUGAGAUAACUUGAGCCUGUAAACCAUCUAAAUCAUUUUUUCUUUUUUGGUUUUCUACAUGCACCGAGAAAUGGUUUAGUGUUUUUUUACAUAACCUUCCUAUGAUUUUAAAAGCCAUGACGCCCUUACAGUUUGGAUUAAAGUGUUAAAAUAACGGAAAUGAUCAUUAUAAUGGAAUCACCUAAAAUACCAAAAAUACCCUUAUGUAAAGUUAAAAUUUAUUUAUUAACCAAGAGGGUUAUAUAUAUUUUUUAAAAAUCAUAAGAGUGUUAUACGGUAAAGUAUUAAACUAUAAAGGAAUUAUAUAGUAAAAUAUAAAAAUUAUAUGGGGUUAGUGUGUCAUGUAUUUAUAAGGGUAAUUUCGACAUUUUUAAAAGUUAUGAAUGACUAUUUCAGUUAGUUUGACACUUUAAUUCAAACCAUGAGAGAAUUAUGUAUAGUUUUGAAAUUAUAGAGGGAUUAUGUUUUUUUUUUUUUUGAAUCAGAAACUCUACAUACGUGCGAUAUUAUUUUCUCAGUAACAGCUCUUAACCAAAAUACAUAAUCAUUACAAAAUACUCGAGAAAUUUAAUUCUGCAAGCACUAGCUUAGUCCUCAUACCAUAAAACCAAGAAAAAAAAAAGAUAAAAUUGGAAUUUAGUUAUAAGAAUUUCUAAAUUUGGAGAUCAUAUAUGCAAUCUUGUCUAGUAGUUUAGAUGCACUUUCCUCUCCCAUUGAGAAAGGAUUGGUCCAUUCUUGGUAGUGAUGGAGGCUGCCUGUAAAGUCCGUGAAAAGCCCGUCAACUCCAAUCUUCUUGAUCCAGUACUCGUACUCAUUAUAUGGAUCUUGACUGAAGUUAAAAUGUAAGGACAUAUUAUCAUUCUGGAAAAUGAAUGGGUGCACCUGAAGGUUGUAAGCAUGUGAUCUUGUAACAAGAUCAGUAGGUGUUUGCAGAUAAUUAUUUGAAGCAGGAACUAUUGAAUCUUUCCAAGGUCCAAUGCCCACGACAUAAUCUUUGAUGAAGUCAAAGUAACUGUUGGAAGUGAUUUCCCAGUAUGACUGAUUGGUGUCUUGAGUAGGUGUAGUGGCAUCAUCAAUUAGGAGGAUCUUAGGCAGGUCUGUCAGGUGUGAGAUGUAAAUCAAAGAUGUUGGAGCAAAAGACUGAAUAAAUGCAGGCUGUUUCAACCAUUGUUUUGACAAAUAAGUUCCCUUGUAUCCAUACUUCUUCAAUGUAUCCACAAACUUGUCUUCAAAUUUCUUACCAAUUGGCCAUUUCACAUGUUGGUUGAUAAAUACUGGAUUUUUUAUCUCUGGAUAUAUCCCCACCACCCUG